rnacentral:rRNA from 1 species
GUGUCAGCCGCCGCGGUAAUACGUAGGGGGCUAGCGUUAUCCGGAAUUACUGGGCGUAAAGGGUGCGUAGGUGGUUUCUUAAGUCAGAGGUGAAAGGCUACGGCUCAACCGUACUAAGCCUUUGAAACUGAGAAACUUGAGUGCAGGAGAGGAGAGUAGAAUUCCUAGUGUAGCGGUGAAAUGCGUAGAUAUUAGGAGGAAUACCAGUUGCGAAGGCGGCUCUCUGGACUGUAACUGACACUGAGGCACGAGAGCGUGGGGAGCAAACAGGAUUAGAAACCCCCGUAGUCC